rnacentral:siRNA from 1 species
UUCUCCUACAUGUGAUGAGAUGUG